GUUCUACAACAUGUUGUUUUAUGAUGGACUCAAAAUGUUCAUUUUCUGUUUUCACUGUAAAUAAAAUCAGUAAAAACUCCAUUAUAGAUGAAAACAUCAACAGAUAUCAGUUUGUUCACCUGUUACUAAACUGGAUCCAUAAAAGUCGUCCUGAAAAAAACCUGGAUGUUGAAAUGGUUUCCUCCUUGACACUAUAACUGUCAUCAGAGUCCAUCCUGUUAGUUGUAGCAGCUUCACUGUCAUUAUACUGAAGUCAGACAACAACAUGACAACACUUAGAUCAUGUUCCUGAGGCAGAAAAACACUUUGGAGAAAAAGUCAUCAAUGUAAGACAAUGAAAUAAAGUUCAGUCUAAAAUAGAAUGUAAAUGUCAGAUGUGGUCAGUCCUGAUUCCUCUUCAUCAACCUGAUGGAUCCACUGAUGACUAAAAGAACAGAAGCAGCAGCUCAGAGUUCAUGGAGGAGUUUAGUGGUUAAACUCUUCUCAUCUGGAUCAACUUUAACUUCUCUCUGCUUUCUUCUUCAGCUCAGGAAAUCAUCACAGCUGAACGUGGACAGGAUGUCAUUCUACCAUGUAAAGCUCCUGACAACAAAAUCACAGCUGUAGAGUGGAGAAGACCUGGACUGGAUCCAGAUUAUGUUCUUCUGUACAGAGAUGGACACUUAGCUCCAGACAGCCAGCAUCCAUCUUAUCAGAACCGGGUGGAUCUGCAGAACAAAGAGAUGAAGGAUGGAGACAUUUCUCUGAUUCUGAAGAAAGUGAAGACGGAGGACAGAGGAACAUACGAGUGUCUUGUUGUCCGGACAGGAAAGACCAAAUCCAUCAGCAGGAUCAUCCUGGCAGUUCAUCCACCAGAUCAUUCCAGGGCCAUAGUCGGUUUGGCUGUUGGUUUGCCUCUUGGUGUGUUGGUCUGCCUCCUGUUAGCUGCAGCAGUUUUUCUUUACAGACAAUACAGAAAAAUGACGGAGGCUUUGGCAAAGACAAUUGUACAAGGGGACCUGGAAGCAUCCGUAACUAUAGAAGAAGUCAACCUAAUGAAGAACUACAUCCGUCUCCAGAACAAAUCCUCUGAGGAGAUAGAACUGGAUGGCUGCAGGUUAGAAGUACAGAGAAACAACAGAGAACCAGACAUAUACCAUUUGAGAAGGCAGUAAAACUUCAGGCUGGAGAGAUUCUCUGUAUGGGGCACACAAAUUGGUUGAAACAUCCUCGAGAUGUUAAUCUGAAGUGUCAGAACUAGAGAAAUGGAAUCCUGGAGACAAAGUGCAGAUCAAACUCAUCAACAACAAAGGAGAAAUCUUCAGACUGCUGUAGUGUGAAUAAACAUGUGAAACAUCGUUUUUUUAUGUCCAGCAGAACGUUGCCAACAUCUCCAUCAUCUAGAUUGAUCCUGUGGAUUGUUGCUGCUGCUGCUGGUCUUCAUCAACUUUUCUGUUGCUUUGUCUGGAAAUAAAUGUGUUCCAAAGCUCUGCAUGUUAGAACCUGAUGAAAUGUUGUGGAUGUAAAGUGUUCUGUCAGAUGAGAUCAGAAGCAGAUAGAAAAGUUCUGAUUGUCCAGAAUGAAGCAGAACUGAUGAACAACUUCAGACUGAACUGGUUUGAAUGUUUGAUCUGUUAGCAGCUCUGAUGAUGCUCUGAACUGCUUUAAACAUUAAGGUCAGUUUAUAUCAUGUAUUUUAUAUAUUUUUAUACUACUCAGUUUGAUCUUCAUCCUAUAUCCUGUUUAGUUGUUAAUCUGCAGAUAAAUGUAGUAAAAUAACAUUGUUUGUUACUGAACUGUAGUGAAGGUUGAACAGAAUAAACAGAACUUCUACUGAUAGAAUGAACUGAGUUACUUCACAGAAAUGAUUGUUUAUCCUGUUACAGACUGGAAAUAAGGAACUUUUCUGCUGCUUUUUGUGCUUCUGCUUUGAUUCUAAACUGUUUGAUUCUCUUAGUUCUUGUCCUCUGAACAAUAAAGCUGAAUCUAAUCAGUGA